AGGUCAAUGGAGGCCAAACGGCGUUGAUAAACACGCUAAAAAGCGAGUAUGCGUCUUGAUAACACGCCAAUAAUGGCUUAGAAUUGGCGUGUCAUUGAAACCAAAACGUAGAAGUCAGAAACGUCGGGAAAAGCCGUGAAAAUGACGCAUGAAAAACAUUCCACGAAGCAACAAACGUGUUGAAAAAAAGUGUCAAAGAAAUCAGAAAAAAGGGUAAAAAAAAGCAUCAGAAAACAGUGAUUUUUUGGGGUUUUUUUAAAUGUCAAACAGCCCGUUUGUGUCCGUCCGGACUACAAAACUACCGUAGAGUUCACCAAUCAAACGUCUCCGUUUUACGAGCUCGGAAACGCCGCAGAAGAGAGUCGUCUUGAAACCCAAACGUAGCCGUGUGGAUGUAGCCUCACAGCCCACUGCUGCCCCAAUCAGCCAAUCAGAGAGCAGAGGCUCAUGGGUAAUGUAGUCUUUAGUCACAGACCAGACCGCAGGAAGAAAAGGAGGAAUUUUAACAUCAGAAACUCCCGAUCUUAUAAGUGAAGAAGUACUCUGAUUACUCGCUGAAGUAAAAGUACAACACCACACUGUAUAAUUAUUAUAUUACUGUGUAUUUAUUUGUUUGACUACAUUUUUUUACUUUUGAACAAAGUCGAGUCUGAAAAGUCCGUGAAAAUUUAAAAUCAGACUCGCUCUGCAGCCAAUCACAGCUCAGCUCUGCAGCCAAUCACAGCUCAGCUCUGCAGUCAAUCACAGCUCAGCAGCCAAUCAGAGCUCAGCUCCGUUCAGCCUGAAAGAUGUCGGAUAAAUACCCUCACAAAAAACAUUUAAAAACUGUUUAUUCGGCAUAAUUUGUUGCCGUAAAACCGGGCUUUCUACGUUGACAAAAAAAGUCGUAGAAACGCCCGUUUUCUCAGCGAUAAUGUGCCGUAAAAUACAGUUUUCUAUGUCAGAAACCUCACAACAACGCUGAGAAAAGUGGCGUUUCUACGACCUUUUUCAACGUAAAAAGAGACGUUUUUAUAGCAACUUAUAAAAGUGAAUAAAACCCCUAAAAGCCGCGUUGGUCUCUCCACAUCUCCAUCUGAGAUUAACUUUUAAAAACUGCUUAAAUGCUCUUUAUCUUAUCGACUUAAAGUCGUUUCUUAGGUUGAAAAAGGUCGUAGAAACGCCACUUAUCUCAGCAGCGUUGAGCCGAGUUUUGGGGGUUUUACGUUUGUGGAAACAAGUUUUUUUUGGUGUAAAAUAGAAAAAGUACGGAGUAACUUUCCACCGUGAAGUCUGUGGAUCGGGAGAGUUGUGAAUGGAGUUCUGAGACUUGAAACAACUUGUGUGUUAGUGAUUU